AGCCGGUGAUGCAUGAUUAUAUUUGCUACUCUUGAUGGGAUUGAAUCCCAUCUGAUGAUUCUUUAUCCACCAAGAUCUCUGAGGCU